CAGUCGCCGCGGUAAUACGAACCGUGCGAACGUUAUUCGGAAUCACUGGGCUUAAAGCGCGUGUAGGCGGGAGGGCACGUCCGUCGCUGAAAUCCCCCGGCUCAACCGGGGAACGGGCGCGGAUACGACUCUUCUGGAGGAACGUAGGGGGACCUGGAACUUCCGGUGGAGCGGUGAAAUGCGUUGAGAUCGGAAGGAACGCCCGUGGCGAAAGCGAGGUCCUGGACGUUUACUGACGCUGAGACGCGAAAGCCAGGGGAGCGAACGGGAUUAGAUACCCCUGUAGUCCCUGUCUCUUAUA
rnacentral:rRNA from 1 species